CAUUUCGUCACCGUCCUUUCCGCGCGCGCCUGUCAAUACAAACGACCGAUGUCAAAACAACAUUCAUAUUCAUUCGCUUACGAGUCGAGGCUUCGCCUGCACUACUUCUCCAUAUAUUUCUUAUGAUUGUUGUUCAUGAUAACACGCGACAAUGCGAUUUGUGCGCAUUACGCAUCAUUACGAGACGAAGAUCAGCGUAGCGAGUAAAAGCGAUGAACUGGUCGGUUUCGAGAGCCUUUUCGUACAAUUUUCGAUAUUCAUGCCGCACGACCCGCUUACCGCGGCAAUUACGAAAGAUUUUCGGCGAUAAAUACCCAAUUUCGUUCCGCACCUUCGGCCGCUUUUACGAGGAUGGAAACACGGCAGCAAACACUACGUCGUACACGGAAACGCGACGACAAUGCGAAAUAAAUGUACGGACGCGAUAUGCGGCUUGAGAACUCGUCCGGAACACGGCAACAUGUCGACGCCCGUAUGUCAGCCGGGAGGUUUCGCUGGAAAAAAUUCACCGUUGAUCGUCCGCAACGAGAAACUGUCACCGGAUGCAUCAUCUCCAUGAUAACGCGCUCUCAUACUCGUGUACGAAACACGCGUGCGGUCUAGGACCGCGAUUACCACUGAUACGCACAUCCACGACGCGACGCGAUCAAGCCGGUUAUGCGUCGCGACGCCGGUUGCAUCGCGCGUGACAUCGCGGCGCCAUCUCACAAGUGUUUCUUUGCACGAUUAAAAUAUAUAUAUAUAUAUAUAUAGAUUAUA